rnacentral:rRNA from 1 species
CACGUAGGGGGCAAGCGUUGUCCGGAUUUAUUGGGCGUAAAGAGCUCGUAGGCGGUGUGUCGCGUCGGCCGUGAAAACCUGCAGCUUAACUGUGGGCGUGCGGUCGAUACGGGCAUCACUGGAGUUCGGCAGGGGAGACUGGAAUUCCUGGUGUAGCGGUGAAAUGCGCAGAUAUCAGGAGGAACACCGGUGGCGAAGGCGGGUCUCUGGGCCGAUACUGACGCUGAGGAGCGAAAGCGUGGGGAGCGAACAGG